GGGUGCGUAGCUCAGCUGGUUAGAGCGCUUCGUUCACAUCGAAGAGGUCGCUGGUUCGAGUCCAGCCGUACCCA
rnacentral:tRNA from 1 species